ensembl:lncRNA
GCGAAAGCCCGGUGUCGGAGGAGGCAGGCCUCUGCCCCUGGUCUGGACGGGACGGGCGGCUUGGGGCUUGGACUGUGAGGACACCGGGACUCUGAGGUUACACUCGCCCCGGGGCCAUUGGUACCGUCGCCCGCUUCAGAGCCUCCACGUCCACAGUCCUAUUGGCCACAAGGGUGCAUUCGCAGAUCGGGGGUGGAUUGGAAACCCCGAACAGCUUUGCACCAGGUAAUUGAAGAUUCAGGCUCAGUUGUAAACAGUAAAGCAGAGAGACUGCCGUGCCCUCUUCUGCAUUCCCCUCCAGCGGUAACAUUGUGGACAGUGUCGCAGCCGGGGCUCCGAGGGUGAGACCAUCCGGAUGGAGAUGCUGGGCUUCUGUUGUCGGGCCACAUGUGGACGAGUCCCCGGUUUCCUGGGGAGGGGCUGGGGCUGCGGGGGGACCCCAGCAGCGCUCGCCCAGAGGGCCAGCAGGUGGUUCCUAGCGAAUGCGGAGAACACAGGACACGUGGGGGGCUCAGGCUCGAUCACGAGGUCCACCCACGGCUGGUGGUGACCAGGGCUCAGAGUCACCAGAGUCACCGUCCAGAAAGGCCAGGGUCCAGGGUGGGAGCUCCAGAAACAGCUGCAGGAUGCUCCGAAUCCCCUGGCCCGGUCUACAAGCAGAUUCCUGUCGCUGAGAUGUCCUUUUCCCUGCAGCACAGCAGGAGCUUAGAGGCUUUGAACUGUCAACACAACAAAGGCUUUUGGCUCCUGUGGGCCUGAGGUUCUUAUUUCAAACUUGAAAGGGUGUGGAGUAAGAAUACAUCAUUGCUAACUGGACCUCAGGCUCCAACAAAGCAGAAAUAAGCUUUAUUGUAACCACCCACAGACUGAAGGAAGAAGAAAGCAGUGCUCUGAGUUUAGGGACCACAGGC